AGAGUUUGAUCCUGGCUCAGGACUAACGCUGGCGGCGUGCCUAACACAUGCAAGUCGAGCGGGGUAGCAAUACCCAGCGGCAGACGGGUGAGUAACGCGUGGUCAACCUUCCGUUGAAUGGGGGAUAACUAGCCGAAAGGUUAGCUAAUACCGCAUACGAUCUUUUGAAGGCAUCUUUAAAAGAUGAAAGGAGCAAUCCGUUCAACGACGGGACCGCGUCCCAUUAGCUAGAUGGUGGGGUAAUGGCCUACCAUGGCAACGAUGGGUAGCUGGUUUGAGAGAGCGACCAGCCACACUGGGACUGAGAAACGGCCCAGACUCCUACGGGAGGCAGCAGUGAGGAAUUUUCCGCAAUGGACGAAAGUCUGACGGAGCGACGCCGCGUGUGGGAAGAAGGCCUUCGGGUCGUAAACCACUGUCGAAGGGGACGAUAAUGACGGUACCCUUGGAGGAAGCCCCGGCUAACUACGUGCCAGCCGCCGCGGUAAUAC
rnacentral:rRNA from 1 species